GACGAACGCUGGCGGCGUGCUUAACACAUGCAAGUCGAACGGAAAGGCCCUGCUUUUGUGGGGUGCUCGAGUGGCGAACGGGUGAGUAACACGUGAGUAACCUGCCCUUGACUUUGGGAUAACUUCAGGAAACUGGGGCUAAUACCGGAUAGGAGCUCCUGCUGCAUGGUGGGGGUUGGAAAGUUUCGGCGGUUGGGGAUGGACUCGCGGCUUAUCAGCUUGUUGGUGGGGUAGUGGCUUACCAGGGCUUUGACGGGUAGCCGGCCUGAGAGGGUGACCGGCCACAUUGGGACUGAGAUACGGCCCAGACUCCUACGGGAGGCAGCAGUGGGGAAUAUUACACAAUGGGCGGAAGCCUGAUGCAGCAACGCCGCGUGCGGGAUGACGGCCUUCGGGUUGUAAACCGCUUUCGCCUGUGACGAAGCGUGAGUGACGGUAAUGGGUAAAGAGGCACCGGCUAACUACGUG
rnacentral:rRNA from 1 species